UUACGGCCACAUCACGUUGAAACAACAGUUCCAGUACGAUCGCCAAAGUUAAGUAACGUCGAGCCCAGUCAGUAACUAGAUGGGUGACCGCUUGCGAAUACCAGGUGCUGUAAG